rnacentral:rRNA from 1 species
UACGGGGGGGGCAAGCGUUGUUCGGAAUUACUGGGCGUAAAGGGUGCGCAGGCGGCGUCGCAAGUCAGGCGUGAAAUCCCCGGGCUUAACCUGGGAACUGCACUUGAAACUACGAUGCUGGAGUAUGGCAGAGGGAGGUGGAAUGCUUGGUGUAGAGGUGAAAUUCGUAGAUAUCAAGCGGAACACCGGUGGCGAAGGCGGCCUUCUGGACAGUGACUGACGCUGAGACGCGAAAGCGUGGGGAGCAAACAGG